GUGCCGUCUUCGGCAGCACAUAUACUAAAAUUGUAACGAGACAGAGAAGAUGAGCGUGGCCCUGCACAAAGAGUGACUCCCAAUUCAACCACUGACCUUCUGUUC